GAUAGGAACCUGUCGCUACUGUGAUUGGACACUGACACAGAGUCAACUAGCCUUGGUCGGGCGGUUCUUCGCUCGGCGGAACCGGAGCGGUCCGAACCACGAGGGGGGAGGUUCGGACCGCCCGCU
rnacentral:ncRNA from 1 species